AUUGAACGCUGGCGGCAGGCUUAACACAUGCAAGUCGAGCGAGCGGCGGACGGGUGAGUAAUGUCUGGGAAACUGCCUGAGGGAGGGGGAGAACUACUGGAAACGGUAGCUAAUACCGCAUACAAUCAGAUGUGCCCAGAUGGGAUUAGCUAGUAGGUGGGGUAAUGGCUCACCUAGGCGACGAUCCCUAGCUGGUCUGAGAGGAUGACCAGCGACACUGGGCCUGGGACACGGUCCGACCUCCUACGGGAGGCAGCGGUGGGAACUAUUGCGCAAUUGGCGCAAGCCUGCUGCAGCCAUGCCGCGUGUGUGAAGCAGGCCUUCGGGUUGUAGAGCACUUUCAGCGAGGGGGCGUUACUCACAGAAGAAGCACCGGCUAACUCCGUGCCAGCAGCCGCGGUAAUAC
rnacentral:rRNA from 1 species